ACUUUCAACAACGGAUCUCUUGGUUCUCCCAUCGAUGAAGAACGCAGCGAAAUGCGAUAAGUAGUGUGAAUUGCAGAAUUCAGUGAAUCAUCGAAUCUUUGAACGCACAUUGCGCCCCACGGUAUUCCGCGGGGCAUGCCUGUUCGAGCGUCAUCAACAC
rnacentral:rRNA from 1 species